rnacentral:lncRNA from 1 species
UAAAUCCAAUGCUGUCUCAAAAUAAAGGUCAUAGAAAAAAAAUUAACAAAAUUGGACAAGUUAAUCCUAAAGUUACAUGGAAAGAAAAGUCUGCAAGGACAACAGGACUUCAUGCUGCAGAAUUUCCCCCCAAUGUCUUCCUGGGCACCGCUGUCCUCCCGACUCUCCUGAUCUGGGUUCUUUCUACUGCUUUCCAUCUUUAUUUGAAUAUUUCCUCUAGCAGCUUCCAAACAAAAGACCCAGGGAAUAAAUGUACGUCUGAAUCCUCGUGUGUCUGAACAUGUCUUUUUUCUUGGUAUUCAUGGUAUUUGGCUGGGACGUUUUUUACAUCACUUCUUUGAAAUAUCUGCACUCUAUUUAGCUUUCUUUUUUCCUGAAAGUUCUAUUAGUCAGAUGAUGAACAUCUUGGAAAAAUUCUCUAAGUCUCUUUCUUUGUCUUAAUUUUUCAACUGUCUUUUGGUUUUACCUUUCAGGAAAUUUUAUAAAUUUUAUAAACUCUGUCUUUUAACCUUUUUAUAGAAAAAUUUUGACAUUUAUUUUAAUUUCAAAGGUACUUUCUAGGGGGUAGUGGUGCAGUGUGGACUGUGGGUCCCUGGAGGCUGGUGCUGCAUUACAGACGAUGGUCCCUUAUGGUCCACUCUUGUAGAUUAUGGUCCUUGGUGGGUGGUGCUUCACCACAAUGCUCCCAGGAGGAUGCCCUACCACAGAGAGUGCUCCCAGGAAGGUGUCCUACAACAGAGUGCUCCCAGGAGGAUGUCCCACCACAGAGAGUGCUCCCAGGAGGAUGUCCCACCACAGAGAGUGCUCCCAGGAAGGUGUCCCACCACAGAGAGUGCUCCCAGGAAGGUGUCCCACCACAGAGAGUGCUCCCAGGAGGGUAUCCCACCAGAGAGUGCUCUUGGGAGGAUGCCCCACUAGAGUGCUCCCCAGGGGGCAGAAUUCUACUAUGAGUUUUGCUCCAUCAUAGGUCAUCCCCCCCAAGGAUGAUACUCGACUAGAUGUAUGUCCCUUUGGACACAGAUGAUGUCCCUUUGGGAUGGCCUGCCUCAGUGCAGGUACCCACACUCUCUCCUGCAGGUGACGUUCCAUCAGGGGACUUUGCCUGGGACAGGGGCUGGAAGUACA